UACGUAGGGGGCUAGCGUUGUCCGGAAUCAUUGGGCGUAAAGCGCGUGUAGGCGGCCCGGUAAGUCCGCUGUGAAAGUCGGGGGCUCAACCCUCGAAUGCCGGUGGAUACUGUCGGGCUCGAGUGCGGGAGAGGCGAGUGGAAUUCCUGGUGUAGCGGUGAAAUGCGCAGAUAUCAGGAGGAACACCGAUGGCGAAGGCAGCUCGCUGGGACGGUACUGACGCUGAGGCGCGAAAGCGUGGGGAGCAAACAGG
rnacentral:rRNA from 1 species